GAUGCAAUAUGUCUGCGCCCAGGGGACGCUUGCUGGGAGCAGCCAUUUUCAACCCUACUGCCGUAGAGCAGGCGGAGUCCCUCUUUUCGCGCCUUAAGACAGAAACACAAAAUGAUCCUCUGACAAGUGAUGAAGAAGAAUGGGAAGAUGUGAAAAUCCAAGCAAGAAGAACUUAGGGGAAGCAACUCAACAUCUAAGAAGAAAUGAAUAGGGAUCAGUUCCAAGAAGAGAUAAAGGGGAAAUACCCAAGAACUGGGAUGCUUCGUCUUUGGUUUCUUCUGGAUCCUCCCUAAAUUUUGGCUAAGAAAUCUGAGUCUCCAUUUAAGAGUGUUCCCAGAAAUGAUGACAUCCACAUCCAGGAACCUCCUCCUUCCUUCAUUUGAACUCUCUUGCUUCUGGGGAGCCAGGACCUAUGGAGUAAAAAUCAAGUUCAUUUGGUGACACAUUCCCUCCGGGCCCAGAUGCUGUCUCUGCUGCUGUAAACUCUCCUGCAGUCAAGGCCAAGCAAUAUAUCUAAGCAUCCCUUUGUCAGGUGUCCCCAAGUCUUUACAUCCCAGGGCAAUAAAACAACACUCUGAAU
rnacentral:lncRNA from 1 species